GCUCCCUUAGCUCAGCCUGGUUAGAGCGUCGUGCUUAUAGUCUUCAACUAUACUAGAGUCACGCGAAGGUCGCGAGUUCGAUCCUCGCAUGGAGCU